rnacentral:tRNA from 1 species
GCAUUGCUGGUUCUGUGGUAGAAUUCUCACCUCCCAUGCGGGAGACCUGGGUUUGAUUCCCAGCCAAUGCA